rnacentral:rRNA from 1 species
AUGGACAAGGGCACAAGGCGUUCUGUCUGGUGGCGCACUCGAAGAGCAAGGAUUGACGGCGUACCACUUUGUCAAACCCGGAGCCUCGGGGUUCACCCUGUCCGUCGAUUCAGCAGACCUUGUCGGAGAAGAUUGGCGUCGCCGGCGAUUUUUUCUGCCCGCAACCUGAGCUGGCAUUUGAGUAGGCCGGAGCAGCAGAAGCGAAACGAGCUCGCGGGAGCGCCGCCAGAGGACCGCGGAAACCUGCAGUUACCUGUCUACGACAUCAAGCAGGAACUCGAGCCCAGCGUAUUCCGGUGCUCACCGGCCGGAGCUACCGCAGCUCGCCGUAAACUGCUGGAUUUGGGCAAGCCGUCCGCGGCGGCGGCAGGCUUCGAGAAUGACUCGACUACUCUCGAGCCGGAUGUGGGCGACUUUGACCACACGCACGGGACUGUUGUUUCCCAAACGGGGAUUGCCGACGUGGCAAUGGGGUGGCUGGGAUGGGUCGUUCGGUGUGCGCCUGAGGCGAUAUUAGUGGGCCGGCCCAGUUGGGCCCGUCACUUUGCUUCGUUCUCUCCGCGUCCCCCUGCAUUCUUUCUUCUCUGGCGACGGCAAUGGCGACCGACGGUUGAUCGCCACCUCUGCGACGAUCGUGACGGCGCGACGGCGCGUCGAAGAAGAAGUGAAAUCAUGGACCCAACUGAGAUUUUGAACGUUCGGUUUCAUAUUGGAGGGAAGUUCAUCCGCAUUGGUCCAAAUUUGAACUAUGUUGGGGGAGAUCAAGCAAUGUCAGAGAUUGAGAGGGAUAAAUUGUCUCUGCAGGAAGUGAAAGGCUAUUUAAAAGAUCAUACUCAGUUGAUGGAAUCGAUGAAGUUCUAUUUUCUGCUUCCUGGAAAAGAGCUUAUCAAUGGCUUGGUGUUCCUUAAUGAUGACAGUUGGUGUGUGAAGAUGGCUGAGUACAUUUGUGUUGGAGGAGUUGCUGAUGUGUAUGUGGAGUAUCAUGGAGAGGAAGAUAGCAAUGACAGCAGCAGUGGGAGUGAUUUUGAGGAUGAAAUCAUGGAACAGAGUGAUGAUGAUGAAUUAGAUGCAGUUAUAACUGCUGAAGAACCAGAUGCAGUUAUAACUGCUGAUGAACCAGAUGCAUUAACUGGUGUUGAACAUGCAGAGUCUGAUACUGAUGUGCUCAUACCUGAUGAAACUGGUGUGAUCACUCAAAGAAUUUGCAGCCCCUUGAAGCAGAGAAGAAGCAAUGCCAGAGAAGUAGAUGUUGAUGAAAUGGCAGGCAUGGAAGGAGUUUUUUCUCAGGUUUUGGAUCCAAGUCAACCUGCAUCAGCCUGUGCUUCUGAACCUCAGGCUUCAGGGCAUGUCAAUAACCAAAUGGUGAUAGCUGCAAAUGUUGACAGUGGCAAUCAAAAUUCAGACUCAGACAGUGACACUGAAUACAUUGGACAUACUGAUGAUAGUGGGGAGGAUUCAGAAGUUGUGGAGCUCAGGAGACAUGCUAGGAAAUUUAAGAAAAGGAUGAGGGACUCCAAGAGCUGGAUAGGUAGGGAUGCUACAGGGCCAGUGCCAAUUGAAUUGAUUGCCAACAUGGAGGAGCAAAUUGAAAGAGAAGAAAUGGAUUGGAACUAUGAUUCAUCUGAUGAGGACUACAGCUAUGAUGAAGAUUCAGAUGGUCAUAUAAGGAAGAGGAAGAGUACAUUCCCAAGAUACAACCCUGAAAGUGAAGUACCACAUUUUGCUUUGACCAUGGUUUUUAGAAGCAAGAAUCAGUUGUGCAAAGCUUUGAGAAGAUAUGGACUAGUAACAAAGAGGAGCAUCAAGGUCAUGAAAUGUGAGUGUGACAGAGUAAGGGCAAAGUGUGGAUGGCCUGGCUGCCCAUGGCUGAUAUAUGCAGCCAAGAGAUCAAGGACUUCAAGAUUCCAAGUCAUAACAUAUAAUGAUGAUCACCAAUGUGCACAGAAUAGAUGCAACAAGUUGGUUACUGCAAAGGUGAUUGCACAGAGGUAUGAGCACUUCAUAUUGGCAAAUCCUAUGUGGAAAAUUGAUAGCAUGAAAGCAACUGUUUUGCAAGAUAUGUUUGCUGAUGUCUCCACUUCAAAGUGCAAGCAUGCAAAAAGAAUUGUCAUGGAAAAAUUAUUGUGUGGAAUGAACAAUGAAUACACUAGAGUGUUUGACUACCAACUUGAGUUGUUAAGGAGCAACCCUGGAAGCACAGUUGUUGUUUGCAUGGAUCCAACCAACAUGGAGGAAAGUGUAUUCCAGAGCUUCUAUGUGUGCUUUAAUGCAAUGAAGCAAGGAUUCAAGGCUGGUUGCAGAAAAUGGUUUGUUGGGCUGCUCAUUAAGGACUUGGAAAUAAACAAUAAUGGAGCUGGCUGGGUUAUUAUUUCUGAUCAGCAGAAGGGCUUGAUAAAUGCAGUUAAUGAUUACCUUCCUGCUGCAGAGCAUAGGAUGUGUGCUAGGCACAUUUAUGCUAAUUGGAGGAAGAAACAUAGAGAUCAUGAGUGGCAAAAGAAAUUUUGGGCAGUUGCUAAGGCUUCCAACAGGCAAGAUUUCAACUAUUAUAAGGCCAAGCUUGCACAAGUUACUCCUGAAGGGGCUAAAGACAUCAUGAGGACUGAGCCAGUGCACUGGGCAAGGGCUUUUUUCCCAGUUGGUUCAAAUUGUGAGUCAGUUGACAACAACCUUUGUGAGUCAUUCAACCAUGCUAUAGUUGAUGCUAGGUUUUAUCCUAUUAUUUCUAUGAAUGAAAAAAUUAGGAAGAAAGUACUUGUGAGAAUUCAGGAACAAAGAGAGAAAGGUGCCAACUUUAGAGGAAAAAUAUGCCCUGCUGUUUUCAAAAAGCUGAAGAAAAGUAUUGCUAGAACACAAUAUCUUGAAGUGCUCUGGAAUGGAGAAAAUGGAUUUGAAGUGAAGCAAGUGAAUGGAAGAGGAAGGCAGUACACUGUUGACCUGGAAAAAUGGACAUGCUCUUGUGGGUACUUCCAGCUGGCAGGGCUUCCUUGCCACCAUGCAAUUAGUGCCAUCUAUAAGUGCAACAAAAAUAUUGAUGAUUUUAUUGCUCCUUGCUACUUUUUUGAAGUGUUCAACAAAAUCUAUGAGCAUUGCUUGCAGCCAGUGGAGGGUGAAGAGAUGUGGCCAGUGUCACCCAAUCCUAGGCCAGUGCCUCCUGAAUAUAUUAGGUUGCCAGGAAAAGAGAAGAAAAAAGGAAGGCCUAAAAACAAUGAUAGGAGAAGAGAAGAAACUGAGCAACCUAAGGGGAAGAAAAUGAGCAAGCAUGGCACAAUUAUCAAAUGCUCAUUGUGUGGUAACCCUGGACACAACAAAUCAGGAUGUAAACAGAAUCCAGAGAGAGGCAAGAAAAAGAAUGCACAUCUUGCUAGAACUAGCAAGAAAAAGAACCCAACUGAGCAAUCCAAAGGAAGUGCAUCUGCCUCUGCUUCUGCAUCUGCUCCACCAACAGCAACAAGUUCAGUACCAACAGGUCCUUCUGCUGGGACCAACAGGUUUAAGCCUCCAAGAAAGAGAACUGCAACUGCUGAAGCUGGAUCAUCUGCUGCCCCUACAACAUCUACUUCCACAAGGACAGGAUCUGGAGCUAAGAGGGGAAGAAGGCCUGCAUCAUCAGUGCCAAGCUUCAGAUAUUUCACUUGCAGUGGAAACUACUAG